UUAGAGUUUGAUCCUGGCUCAGAUUGAUCGCUGGCGGCAGGCCUAACACAUGCAAGUCGAGCGGAUGAAGAGAGCUUGCUCUCUGAUUCAGCGGCGGACGGGUGAGUAAUGCCUAGGAAUCUGCCUGGUAGUGGGGGACAACGUUCCGAAAGGAACGCUAAUACCGCAUACGUCCUACGGGAGAAAGCAGGGGACCUUCGGGCCUUGCGCUAUCAGAUGAGCCUAGGUCGGAUUAGCUAGUAGGUGAGGUAAUGGCUCACCUAGGCGACGAUCCGUAACUGGUCUGAGAGGAUGAUCAGUCACACUGGAACUGAGACACGGUCCAGACUCCUACGGGAGGCAGCAGUGGGGAAUAUUGGACAAUGGGCGAAAGCCUGAUCCAGCCAUGCCGCGUGUGUGAAGAAGGUCUUCGGAUUGUAAAGCACUUUAAGUUGGGAGGAAGGGCAGUAAGUUAAUACCUUGCUGUUUUGACGUUACCAACAGAAUAAGCACCGGCUAACUUCGUGCCAGCAGCCGCGGUAAUACGAAGGGUGCAAGCGUUAAUCGGAAUUACUGGGCGUAAAGCGCGCGUAGGUGGUUCAGCAAGUUGGAGGUGAAAUCCCCGGGCUCAACCUGGGAACUGCCUCCAAAACUACUGAGCUAGAGUACGGUAGAGGGUAGUGGAAUUUCCUGUGUAGCGGUGAAAUGCGUAGAUAUAGGAAGGAACACCAGUGGCGAAGGCGACUACCUGGACUGAUACUGACACUGAGGUGCGAAAGCGUGGGGAGCAAACAGGAUAAGAUACCCUGGUAGUCCACGCCGUAAACGAUGUC
rnacentral:rRNA from 1 species